CAUGCCAGUUCUUUCAGCAUAGGUUAUUCCAAUAUGUAUUUUAAAACAUAUAUUUGGAUAUCCUAUGCUUAGAGAAUUGGUAGG
ensembl:miRNA aca-mir-5411 aca-mir-5411